rnacentral:rRNA from 1 species
UACAGAGGUCUCAAGCGUUGUUCGGAAUCACUGGGCGUAAAGGGCGUGUAGGCGGUCAAGUAAGUGGAAUGUGAAAGCCCCCGGCUUACCCGGGGAUCUGCAUCCCAAACUGCUUGGCUUGAGUACGGGAGAGGAUAGGGGAAUUCCUGGUGUAGCGGUGAAAUGCGUAGAUAUCAGGAGGAACACCGGUGGCGAAGGCGCCUAUCUGGCCCGAUACUGACGCUGAGGCGCGAAAGCUAGGGGAGCAAACGGG